rnacentral:rRNA from 1 species
UACAUAGGUCCCAAGCGUUGUUCGGAUUCACUGGGCGUAAAGGGUGCGUAGGCGGUCGGGUAAGUCUGAUGUGAAAUCUCACAGCUUAACUGUGAAACUGCAUUGGAUACUAUCCGGCUCGAGGAAUGGAGGGGAGACUGGAAUACUUGGUGUAGCAGUGAAAUGCGUAGAUAUCAAGUGGAACACCAGUGGCGAAGGCGAGUCUCUGGACAUUACCUGACGCUGAGGCACGAAAGCCAGGGGAGCAAACGGG